rnacentral:rRNA from 1 species
AGCAGUCGCCGCGGGAAUACGUAGGGUGCGAGCGUUAAUCGGAAUUACUGGGCGUAAAGCGUGCGCAGGCGGUUCGUUAAGACAGAUGUGAAAUCCCCGGGCUUAACCUGGGAACUGCAUUUGUGACUGGCGAGCUAGAGUAUGGCAGAGGGGGGUAGAAUUCCACGUGUAGCAGUGAAAUGCGUAGAGAUGUGGAGGAAUACCGAUGGCGAAGGCAGCCCCCUGGGCCAAUACUGACGCUCAUGCACGAAAGCGUGGGGAGCAAACAGGAUUAGAUACCCGAGUAGUCCCUGUCUCUUAUAC